UUUGACAAAAUGAGCCUUCUGCUUGGCGACCGCCCGAUGGUGCAAGCAAGAGAUUACGGCGUUGACACCGCCGCCGAAGACGAGGACAUCGUUCUGUUAUGCGAUGGCAGCGAAGAGGAAGGAGAUGCGUCCGACGAUCUAGAAACCUCUGCAACAUCUACGCCAUCGCAA